rnacentral:misc_RNA from 1 species
UGACAUUAUUGGAACUUUGUAAGAAAUCAAACUGACUAAACAACAUUUUAUCAUAUGGGAAAUUUCACAAAGAUUUAUAUUUUCCCGUUACAUGAAUUUAAUGGAAAGGAUGAGAGACUAGACUAAAAAGAAGAUAUGUUUACAUGAUCAUAACAUUCAUUAGUCCCGCUGCAAAUUUCACUACUCUUACAAUGACUAGAGAUCCACUUUGUGUCAUAUAUUGCUGAUCGUUAACUGGACCUGGCCUAUCAUUUGAUGAUCUCUAUAUAUACUUACCAAAAUGGAACACCACAAAAGGCAAAAUAAGUUAAAAGCAAAAACAUUGAACUAGGUUUCCUUGGCUUCCCUGGCGUUUACAGAUUAUCCAUCCUUUCAGAAUCCAAGAAAUCAGGCAAUUUACGUAGGCUCUGGUUUGCUGGCUGUAUCUGAUUACGCCCUCACCAUCACCGAGUUGUGAAAGCCUACAACCAUGAAAAUAUGUAAAUAUAUUAUUUCCAACAACUCUGCAACAUUUAAUGAAACAAUUGAUAAUUCAAUACAAUGUAGUAGAGAAUUACGGAAAAUAUAUUGCAGUGACCAGGAUCUGCAAUGUGAGCCAUCAAAUUUUCAAUGGGACCUUCCCCAGUAUAAAUGGCCUGGAAGCAGAAGCCAACAAAUGCUAGCAUAGCUAAACGCCCAUUCUUAAUCUCCUUAGUUCUCAAAACCAUUACAGGCUCUGGGGACCCUCUACCCCAAGCAAGGGGAUCAAACCAUAACCCACCUGGGUAACCAACGUCUGGCUUUGGUUUUGAUUUGUUUGGUAAUGUAGGCUCUAUGUCAACACACCCAGGCUUAAUCAUAUCUGCCCAUCUUCUUCCCUCAGCCCAACCCAUCAAGACUAACUGCACUAAAAACAAGGUUGUUGGAUCCGCAAAGUAUUCCCGUGCACCAGCAUCAAACCAAUUGUAGUUCUCAAUGAAGCCUAAACUUUCAAGCCAUUCUGGAACGAGGAUUCCGGUCACGGCAAGCAUUGCCCACCUACUGUGCAUUAGCUCAGCCUGGGCAAACCAUUUCAGCAAUUCCGGAUCAGAUCCUGAAACAUAUGAGACAUGUAUAUAUUAGUUUUCAAUCUAUAACCCGCCAGAGGUUCAGUCUAACUUGCUUCAAUACAUAUAUAGAUUAGCAAGUAUUAUGUUAAAUAAUCCAGAAGAUAGGCGUACCUAAUCCAAGUGGAUCGAAGCCAAAAUCUCCUGGAAGACUAAAAUUAACACAAGGAAAGAAGUCAUAUUUCCAUCAAGCUAAAAAAGCCAAUCUGAUUUACUGCUACUAAUCACAUUCCGAUAUUAUUCCCAAUAGGCCAUGUUGUGCACUAGCAUUUUGUUAUGAACACUAAGAAGGAGAAUAAGGGGCCGUAAUUGUAUGGUGAAGAGAGUAGAAUAAGAAGAUGUAGUUGAGAUGAGCUGAUAGCUAUUAUAGGAGUUGUUAUAGUUGUUGAAGUAGCUGUUAUAUUUGAUGGGAACAGUUAGUUAAUAAAGGAGAUGUUGUGUAAAUAAUUGAAAUAUCAAUAUUACAAUCAAUUCUUCUCUCUAUUUCUCUCUAUUCUCUUUUCUCUAAGUUCUAAUUCUCUCUGUCUUCUUUCUUCUGCUAUUUCCCUUUCCCUUUCUUCUUCUAUCUCUCUUUAAUUUCCGUUCUUCUCUGGAAUUGAGAAUACUGCUUCCUAACACAUUCAUGCGUCCUUCAAGAGCAUUCAUGCUUCUAUAACUACUACAAUUAAUUAAAUUAGGAUGAGAAAAAUGCAAUACAUGAGCUUUCAUGGUCAUUACAUUUUUCAAAAGCCAUGCUAAUCAAACAUAAUCACUAAGUCAAAUAAACUAACUAAUAACGUACAUUCAACAGCUUAUAAACCAUUCUAUCCUUAACCACCUUAUUUUCCAACAAAUAAAAGCAUUACUGCAGAAAGUGUCCAGCUUUUAUAUGCCCAGAGAAAUUGAAGACAAAAUACUUUUUCAUGAUUACAAAGUAAAAUUCAUUUCAAAUUACGAGACCUAUUUAUUAAUGGCAAAUCCAACUAUACAGUAAAAGAACUACUACCUUCCAUCUAGCCAUUCGGGAGGUGAACUACCAGGGAACCACAAAGGUCUAUCCGGAGGGAGAGGUUCACACACACUCGAUACCCCUUUAGUUGCAUUCACUUUUACUUCAGCUUUCCUUGGUUGGAAUGUUGCAAUUUUCCCCAGCAAAGAUUUUUGAGGUACAUCCCUGUUUGCUUCAAUAGAAAGUAUCGGAUGGCAUAUCAAGAAUUUUGACCCAAUAAAAUUAAUAGGUCAAACAUGCAAGAACCAAAAAGAAAUUGGAGUAGAGACAAUCAGGACCUGAUUCUGGUAGGAACGCUUGUCAAUGAAGAAGAUGCAAUGCUCAGAGCCAUGAAUGACCAAUCCAAAAGUGCUCUGGCAGUUUGGUGGCUAU